UGUAGCAAAGCUUUAAUUGUACGCUUGUUAACAAUGCCAUAGAUUUGACCAUUGUAUUAACUGAAAGAGGCACGUUAAUUACUUGACCAUAAAUGCCGUAUUGACCAUUCACAUGUCUCAAACGUCUGAUCUGCAUAAAAGGAAUACGAAGCGAAAUUAAUCUUUCAGAAACUAAAUCUAAAGGUGUUAGAUGCUGAGGUACAUCUGAAUAUUUGAAGCCAUUAUAUGUUGAUAUUAAAGGAAUAUUCUCCUUGUUUAAA
rnacentral:lncRNA from 1 species